rnacentral:rRNA from 2 species
GACUCACGCGGGAAUCUUACCGGGUCCGGACACACUGAGGAUUGACAGAUAUACGCUCAUUUUGUAAUUCGCUGCAUUUUGAGCUGAAAGAUGCUAGUUCUUUCAUGAUUAUGUGAUAGGUGGUGCAUGGCCGUUCUUAGUUCGUGGAGUGAUCUGUCUGCUUAAUUGCGUAUCAAUAAUAGAGACCUAGUAUACGCGUGGAUUUCGCGUGGUAGUGACCCCCUGUUCGCGCAGGCGUGUGUCGCACACGCGUGCCGCGCACUGGUCUCAGAUAGCAACGAACGUGACCGUAUUCUAUUGUUGCAGUGAAUAUGUGUGUCUUCGGGCAUACCACCCACUGCUUAUUGUAUGUACGUGCUUCGGUGCGCACAAUAC